UACAGAGGGUGCAAGCGUUAAUCGGAUUUACUGGGCGUAAAGCGUGCGUAGGUGGCUUGUUUAGUCAGAUGUGAAAUCCCCGGGCUCAACCUGGGAACUGCAUUUGAUACUGGCAGGCUUGAGUGUGGUAGAGGGUAGUGGAAUUCCGCAUGUAGCGGUGAAAUGCGUAGAGAUGCGGAGGAACAUCAGUGGCGAAGGCGGCUACCUGGACCAACACUGACACUGAGGCACGAAAGCUAGGGGAGCAAACAGG
rnacentral:rRNA from 1 species